rnacentral:rRNA from 1 species
UACGAAGGGGGGCUAGCGUUGCUCGGAAUCACUGGGCGUAAAGGGUGCGUAGGCGGGUCUUUAAGUCAGGGGUGAAAUCCUGGAGCUCAACUCCAGAACUGCCUUUGAUACUGAAGAUCUUGAGUUCGGGAGAGGUGAGUGGAACUGCGAGUGUAGAGGUGAAAUUCGUAGAUAUUCGCAAGAACACCAGUGGCGAAGGCGGCUCACUGGCCCGAUACUGACGCUGAGGCACGAAAGCGUGGGAAGCAAACAGG